GUGCAUUUAGAGUUUUGAUCUCUGAGGGGCGGGUUCGAGUCCUGUUUUUUUAGGAG
rnacentral:tRNA from 1 species